GCUUGCUCUCUGGGUGACGAGCGGCGGACGGGUGAGUAAUGUCUGGGAAACUGCCUGAUGGAGGGGGAUAACUACUGGAAACGGUAGCUAAUACCGCAUGACCUCGCAAGAGCAAAGUGGGGGACCUUCGGGCCUCACGCCAUCGGAUGUGCCCAGAUGGGAUUAGCUAGUAGGUGGGGUAAUGGCUCACCUAGGCGACGAUCCCUAGCUGGUCUGAGAGGAUGACCAGCCACACUGGAACUGAGACACGGUCCAGACUCCUACGGGAGGCAGCAGUGGGGAAUAUUGCACAAUGGGCGCAAGCCUGAUGCAGCCAUGCCGCGUGUGUGAAGAAGGCCUUAGGGUUGUAAAGCACUUUCAGCGAGGAGGAAGGGUUCAGUGUUAAUAGCACUGAUCAUUGACGUUACUCGCAGAAGAAGCACCGGCUAACUCCGUGCCAGCAGCCGCGGUAAUACGGAGGGUGCAAGCGUUAAUCGGAAUUACUGGGCGUAAAGCGCACGCAGGCGGUUUGUUAAGUCAGAUGUGAAAUCCCCGAGCUUAACUUGGGAACUGCAUUUGAAACUGGCAAGCUAGAGUCUUGUAGAGGGGGGUAGAAUUCCAGGUGUAGCGGUGAAAUGCGUAGAGAUCUGGAGGAAUACCGGUGGCGAAGGCGGCCCCCUG
rnacentral:rRNA from 1 species